UCCUACGGGGGGCAGCAGUAGGGAAUCUUCCACAAUGGACGAAAGUCUGAUGGAGCAACGCCGCGUGAACGAUGAAGGCCCUCGGGUCGUAAAGUUCUGUUGUAAGGGAAGAACAAGUGCCGCAGGCAAUGGCGGCACCUUGACGGUACCUUGCGAGAAAGCCACGGCUAACUACGUGCCAGCAGCCGCGGUAAUACGUAGGUGGCAAGCGUUGUCCGGAAUUAUUGGGCGUAAAGCGCGCGCAGGCGGCCUCUUAAGUCUGAUGUGAAAGCCCCCGGCUCAACCGGGGAGGGCCAUUGGAAACUGGGAGGCUUGAGUAUAGGAGAGAAGAGUGGAAUUCCACGUGUAGCGGUGAAAUGCGUAGAGAUGUGGAGGAACACCAGUGGCGAAGGCGACUCUUUGCCUUCCUGACGCCUAGCAUUCCUUCCUUCUUC
rnacentral:rRNA from 1 species